GUAGGUGGCAAGCGUUGUCCGGAAUUAUUGGGCGUAAAGCGCGCGCAGGUGGUUCUUUAAGUCUGAUGUGAAAGCCCCCGGCUCAACCGGGGAGGGUCAUUGGAAACUGGGGAACUUGAGUGCAGGAGAGGAAAGUGGAAUUCCACGUGUAGCGGUGAAAUGCGUAGAUAUGUGGAGGAACACCAGUGGCGAAGGCGACUUUCUGGCCUGUAACUGACACUGAGGCGCGAAAGCGUGGGGAGCAAACAGGGAUUAGAUACCCUGGUAGUCCACGCCGUAAACGAUGAGUGCUAAGUGUUGGGGGGGUUUCCCGCCCCUCAGUGCUGCAGCUAACGCACUAAGCACUCCGCCUGGGGAUACGGUCGCAAGACUG
rnacentral:rRNA from 1 species